AUCGAACGCUGGCGGCAGGCCUAACACAUGCAAGUCGAACGAGUGGCGGACGGGUGAGUAAUGUCUGGGCAACUGCCUGAUGGAGGGGGAUCACUACUUGAACAGGUAGCUAAUACCUCAUACCAUCAGAUGUGGCCACAUGUGAUUAGCUAGUUGGUGGGGUAACGGCUCACCAAGGCGACGAUCCCUAGCUGGUCUGAGAGGAUGACCGGCAACACUGGAACUGAGACACGGCCCAGACUCCUACGGGAGGCAGCAGUGGGGAAUAUUGCACAAUGGGCGCAAGCCUGAUGCAGCCAUGCCGCGUGUAUGAAGAAGGCCUUCGGGUUGUAAAGUACUUUCAGCGGGGAGGCGUUACCCGCAGAAGAAGCACCGGCUAACUCCGUGCCAGCAGCCGCGGUAAUAC
rnacentral:rRNA from 1 species